rnacentral:rRNA from 1 species
UACGGAGGGAGCUAGCGUUGUUCGGAAUUACUGGGCGUAAAGCGCGCGUAGGCGGUUACUCAAGUCAGGGGUGAAAGCCCGGGGCUCAACCCCGGAACUGCCUUUGAAACUAGGUAACUAGAAUCUUGGAGAGGUCAGUGGAAUUCCGAGUGUAGAGGUGAAAUUCGUAGAUAUUCGGAAGAACACCAGUGGCGAAGGCGACUGACUGGACAAGUAUUGACGCUGAGGUGCGAAAGCGUGGGGAGCAAACAGG